rnacentral:rRNA from 1 species
UACGGGGGGGGCAAGCGUUGUUCGGAAUUACUGGGCGUAAAGGGUUCGUAGGUGGCUUGUUAAGUCAGACGUGAAAUCCCUCGGCUCAACCGGGGAACUGCGUCUGAGACUGAUGAGCUCGAGUGCAGGAGAGGAACGCGGAAUUCCAGGUGUAGCGGUGAAAUGCGUAGAUAUCUGGAGGAACACCGGUGGCGAAGGCGGCCUUCUGGACAGUGACUGACGCUGAGACGCGAAAGCGUGGGGAGCAAACAGG